rnacentral:rRNA from 1 species
ACGCACGCUGGCGGCGUGCUUAACCCCUGCAAGUCGCACGGAAAGGCCCUGCUUUUGUGGGGUGCUCGAGUGGCGAACGGGUGAGUAACACGUGAGUAACCUGCCCUUGACUUUGGGAUAACUUCAGGAAACUGGGGCUAAUACCGGAUAGGAGCUCCUGCUGCAUGGUGGGGGUUGGAAAGUUACGGCGGUUGGGGAUGGACUCGCGGCUUAUCAGCUUGUUGGUGGGGUAGUGGCUUACCAAGGCUUUGACGGGUAGCCGGCCUGAGAGGGUGACCGGCCACAUUGGGACUGAGAUACGGCCCAGACUCCUACGGGAGGCAGCAGUGGGGAAUAUUGCACAAUGGGCGGAAGCCUGAUGCAGCAACGCCGCGUGCGGGAUGACGGCCUUCGGGUUGUAAACCGCUUUCGCCUGUGACGAAGCGUGAGUGACGGUAAUGGGUAAGGAAGCACCGGCUAACUACGUG